rnacentral:rRNA from 1 species
CCUACGGGGCGCAGCAGUGAGGAAUAUUGGUCAAUGGACGAGAGUCUGAACCAGCCAAGUAGCGUGAAGGAUGACUGCCCUAUGGGUUGUAAACUUCUUUUAUAUGGGAAUAAAAUGUUCCACGUGUGGGAUUUUGUAUGUACCAUAUGAAUAAGGAUCGGCUAACUCCGUGCCAGCAGCCGCGGUAAUACGGAGGAUCCGAGCGUUAUCCGGAUUUAUUGGGUUUAAAGGGAGCGUAGGUGGAUUGUUAAGUCAGUUGUGAAAGUUUGUGGCUCAACCGUAAAAUUGCAGUUGAAACUGGCAGUCUUGAGUACAGUAGAGGUGGGCGGAAUUCGUGGUGUAGCGGUGAAAUGCUUAGAUAUCACGAAGAACUCCGAUUGCGAAGGCAGUUCACUGGACUGCAACUGACACUGAGGCUCGAAAGUGUGGGUAUCAAACAGGAUUAGAUACCCGUGUAGUC